GUCAAGUACAAAGAGCAUCGGGUGGAUGCCUUGGCACUGGGAGCCGAAGAAGGACGUGAUAAGCUGCGAUAAGCUGCGGUAAGGAGCACAUAUCCGAUAUACCCGCAGAUUUCCGAAUGGGGGAACCCACAUACGGUAAUGCGUAUGUAUCAUUAAGUGAAUACAUAGCUUAAUGAAGGGAACGGGGUGAACUGAAACAUCUAAGUAGCCCUAGGAAGAGAAAGAAAAAUCGAUUUCCUGAGUAGCGGCGAGCGAAAGGGAAAGAGGCCAAACCAAAUUGUUUACAGUUUGGGGUUGUGGACCACCGACAUUGACGAAGUUAUGCGAGCCGAAUAGGGUUGGAAAGCUCAAGCAGAGAAGGUAAUACUCCUGUAGGCGAAGCAGAAAGCGCAUAGGUGGCACCAGAGUAGGACCGGACACGUGUAACCCGGUCUGAAGCAGGAGGGACCACCCUCCAAGCCUAAAUACUACCCAGUGACCGAUAGCGAAUAGUACCGUGAGGGAAAGGUGAAAAGAACCCCGGGAGGGGAGUGAAAUAGAAUCUGAAACCUGAUGCUUACAAGCAUAGGGAGCGCAAGUGACCUAGUACUUUUUGUAGAACGGGCCAACGAGUUAUGGUAUGUAGCGAGGUUAAGUUGCUGGAGCAACGGAGCCGUAGAGAAAUCGAGUCUGAAUAGGGCGAGAGUUACAUGCUGUAGACCCGAAACCGGGUGACCUAUCCAUGAGCAGGUUGAAGUAACCGUAAAAGGUUAUGGAGGACCGAACCUAUAUCUGUUGAAAAAGGUUAGGAUGACUUGUGGAUAGCGGUGAAAUUCCAAUCGAACUCGGAUAUAGCUGGUUCUCCUCGAAAUAGCUUUAGGGCUAGCCUCAAGGUAAAGAUACACGGGGGUAGAGCACUGACUGUUCGCGGGGCCUUCACCGGUUACCAACAACUAUCAAACUCCGAAUACCGUGCUAUCAUACUUGGGAGUCAGACUAUGAGAGAUAAGUUCCAUGGUCGAAAGGGAAACAGCCCAGAUCAACAGCUAAGGUCCCAAAGAGUAAGUUAAGUGGAAAAGGAUGUGGGAUUGCACAAACAGCUAGGAUGUUGGCUUAGAAGCAGCCAUACAUUUAAAGAGUGCGUAAUAGCUCACUAGUCGAGUGAUCCUGCGCCGAAGAUAAACGGGGCUCAAACUUACCACCGAAGCUUUGGAAUUAGUAUAACUAAUUGGUAGAGGAGCAUUCUAUACAGGUAGAAGGAGGCGCGUAAGCAAAUCUGGACGGUAUAGAAGAGAGAAUGUUGGCAUGAGUAGCGUAAGGCGGGUGAGAAUCCCGUCCGCCGAAAAUCUAAGGUUUCCUGAGGAAGGUUCGUCCUCUCAGGGUAAGUCGGGACCUAAGCCGAGAGCGAACGCUGUAGGCGAUGGACAACAGGUUGAUAUUCCUGUACCACCAAGGAUUGUUUGAAUGAAGUGGGGACACAGAAGGAUAGAUUGAGCACGCCGUUGGUUGAGCGUGUCCAAGCAGCAAGGCUUGAAAGUAGGCAAAUCCGCUUUCUACAAGGCUGAGCUGUGAUGGGGUGGUCGAAUGACCGGUAGCAAUCGAUUUCACGCUGUCAAGAAAAGCCGCUAAUGAGAUCCAAGGUGCCCGUACCGCAAACCGACACAGGUAGAUGAGGAGAGAAUCCUAAGGUGAGCGAGAGAACUAUUGUUAAGGAACUCGGCAAAAUAACCCCGUAACUUCGGGAGAAGGGGUGCCUGCUUCGGCAGGCCGCAGUGAAGAGGUCCAGGCAACUGUUUACCAAAAACACAGGUCUCUGCUAAAGCGAAAGCUGAUGUAUAGGGGCUGACGCCUGCCCGGUGCUGGAAGGUUAAGGGGAAGUGUUAGGGCAACCGAAGCACAGAACUUAAGCCCCAGUAAACGGCGGCCGUAACUAUAACGGUCCUAAGGUAGCGAAAUUCCUUGUCGGGUAAGUUCCGACCCGCACGAAAGGCGUAA
rnacentral:rRNA from 1 species